AACGAACGCUGGCGGCAUGCCUAACACAUGCAAGUCGAACGAGACCUUCGGGUCUAGUGGCGCACGGGUGCGUAACGCGUGGGAACCUGCCCUUAGGUUCGGAAUAACUCCCCGAAAGGGGUGCUAAUACCGGAUAACGUCUUCGGACCAAAGAUUUAUCGCCUUUGGAUGGGCCCGCGUUGGAUUAGCUAGUUGGUAGGGUAAAAGCCUACCAAGGCGACGAUCCAUAGCUGGUCUGAGAGGAUGAUCAGCCACACUGGGACUGAGACACGGCCCAGACUCCUACGGGAGGCAGCAGUGGGGAAUAUUGGACAAUGGGCGAAAGCCUGAUCCAGCAAUGCUGCGUGAGUGAUGAAGGCCUUAGGGUUGUAAAGCUCUUUUACCCGGGAUGAUAAUGACAGUACCGGGAGAAUAAGCUCCGGCUAACUCCGUG
rnacentral:rRNA from 1 species